rfam:Macaca mulatta chromosome 1, whole genome shotgun sequence.
GCAUUGGUAGUUCAGUGGUAGACUUCCUGCCUCCCAUGUGGGAGACCUGGGUUCAUAAUCCUGGACAAUGCA